AACGAACGCUGGCGGCGCGCCUAAUACAUGCAAGUCGAGCGAGAAGACGUAGCAAUACGUUUGUAAAGCGGCGAACGGGUGAGGAAUACAUGGGUAACCUACCCUCGAGUGGGGAAUAACUAGCCGAAAGGUUAGCUAAUACCGCGUACGCUCCUUGGACUUCGGUUCAGGGAGGAAAGCGAUACCGUGGGUAUCGCGCUCUUGGAUGGGCUCAUGUCCUAUCAGCUUGUUGGUGAGGUAACGGCUCACCAAGGCUUCGACGGUAGCUGGUCUGAGAGGACAAUCAGCCACACUGGCACUGCGACACGGGCCAGACUCCUACGGGAGGCAGCAGUAAGGAAUAUUGCGCAAUGGGCGAAAGCCUGACGCAGCGACGCCGC
rnacentral:rRNA from 1 species